rnacentral:rRNA from 1 species
UACAGAGGGUGCGAGCGUUAAUCGGAAUUACUGGGCGUAAAGGGCGCGUAGGCGGUUAAAUAAGUUUUGUGUGAAAUGCCCGGGCUUAACCUGGGAUCUGCACAAGAUACUGUAUAGCUAGAGUAGAGUAGAGGGAAGUGGAAUUUCCGGUGUAGCGGUGAAAUGCGUAGAUAUCGGAAGGAACACCAGUGGCGAAGGCGGCUUUCUGGACUCAUACUGACGCUGAGGCGCGAAAGCAUGGGGAGCAAACAGG